rnacentral:lncRNA from 1 species
CUUGGACCUGCUUGCAUGGGGAAUUGUGACAGAUUACUGGGCCCAUCACCUAGUAGAUGUUACUGUCUAUUUUUUACCUGGAUCCUGCCUACAGAAAGGAUUGUGACAAAUCAGUGGGCCAAGCAUCCCGGUGACGUGGCUCUUCUGUCUUAGCAAUUCCUAUAGUUGGAAUAGUGACAUAAACCUGGGUCAAGCAUCUGGGGUAAUUUGUGACAUACUGCUGGACCCAGCACCCAGGUCAUUUGACUCUCCUGCCUUGGCCCUUCCCACAGAGGGCAUUGUGACAUUGAGUGGGCUCAGCAGCUAGGUGAUACGACUUUCCUGCCAGGACUCUUCCAACAGAAGGGACAUUGACCUACUCAGGCUCAGUAUUCAGCCAAUAGAUGAAAAAAGAUUCAAGGAAGACACAUUUGCUUUUUAUUCACUCAUCACUUCCCAUCACUAUGCUGACCAGAGUCAAUGUGAGCAGAGUUGAGAAUAGCAGUUUUCUGGCAGGAGAGCCACUUCUCAGCAAAAAAUGACACACUCAAAGUAUAAAUCUUUCAUGGAAGGCUCACAUAUUUUCAGCAAAUUAAGCAUAUGCAUGAAUAAAAUUCUUGUGGUGA